AUCAACACAGUGGAGGCGAGAAGUCUGGCCUUGCGCCGGCCGGGGAGCUUUUCGCCAAGGCUCCUGUGGGAUGGGAUAGCUUGUUCUCUGGGCUGCAGGAACCAAAACAUUAGACCACCCUUUCUGUGACCUUGGGCAUGCCGCCCUCGGUUCCGAGCCGCAAGUCUUUCUUUCGGGGAAAAUGAAAAGGGGUCAAGAUUUGGACCAGAUGACACCCAAUGUCCCAUUCAACGGUCGCAUUCUGUCAUCCACAGGAAUUAGUCCUGUAUCCGAAACAUUCUCUGGUAGUCAAAAGCUGAGCCUGGAGACAGAUGGAGGGGAAGACAGAAGAGAGAUUAAGGAGAAGAAUGGUUUCAUUUGGAAGGACACUGACUAAGGAAAAACAGAGAAAAGGAUGAAACCCAAGCCAACUCUGCAACUCUAUUAAAAACACCAAGACUUCAAUAUAAUCUCCUUAAAGGGAGGCAGUGCAUUCUUCAUGGCUAGAGCUUCAGCAGCUAUCUAGAACCAUAUGGUGGAAGCCACUUACUGAGAACUGUGAAACAAGAGCCUGGGUCCCUGACAUAUGAAGCCACCAUACCUACCUUAAAGUGUCUUUCACUUGAGGGAAAAAUACAUCUUUCUUAGAGAUUUGAAUUUUAAUGUCCCAGAAAUAUAAAGAAGAUGGCAUUAAAAUGUCCUAUAUGUUGGCAGUCCUACCCUGAAGACUUUUUUUGCUUAUCUUUUGUUCUGAGCUACAGUCUUCGCAGAGACUAAAUUAGUGACUGGACAACAGAAGAAAAUAGACCAUCCUGGCUAAAAUGGUGAAACCCCAUCUCUACUAAAAACACAAAAAAUUAGCUGGGCAUGUUAGCGGGUGCCUGUAGUCCCAGCUACUCGGGAGGCUGAGGCAAGAAAAUGGCGUGAACCUGGGAGGCGGAGCUUGCAGUGAGCUGAGAUCGCGCCACUGCACUCCAGCAUGGGGGAUAGAGCGAGACUCCGUCU
rnacentral:lncRNA from 1 species